UUAUCCCCCAACGACUUAUUCUUCUGUCAUACUUGUUUUCAUUGAUUAUUUGGACAGAAAAUUACUGAGGAAUAAAUACAGUGAAGAAACUGUAUUUUAUCCCCAAUUAUAUUUGAUCCUGACACAGCAUAAGAGAAAAGAUGCCCUUAAUGUGCCUCAAAUUGUGCCUCAAAUUAUAGUUUAGUUUUGCAAUAGCAAUGCCCUUAAUGUGCCUCAAAUUGUGGGCACUUGAGCGCUCUCAGCAUAAAAUGGCGGAGGUAUAAGAGAACGGAGGGUCUAAAUGCAGAGGUUUAGUGGAUACGGAGACAUUUAUGGGGAUAAUUUGAAAAGAAAAAGCGUUUGGAUUCCAGAUUUGAAGGUUUCUGACAGGAAAUUUGUGCAAAUUUAGGCAAUCUUUAAAAUAAUGCACAAGAACUUCUUGGAAAGUAAAAUAUCUUGAAUUCAUAAGUACCGUACCUGAAAGAGACUAUGUUUUGGCCACAGAAUUGGGGAAAUCCAGAUUUGAUGUUGUAAUUUUAUAUACAGGAAAUAUACUGAUGAUCACACAUUCUCAUGCAAUCCAACUAGUGGCUAUUGAUUUUUGUUAA